UUAAAAAGCUCGUAGUUGGAUUUCUGGGAGGGUGGCGAUGUCCGCGAUACGUGUGUGCAGCGGCGCCCUUCCAUCCUUCUGUUAGCGUCUCUUGGCAUUCAUUUGCUGGUGGCGGGCUCAGAUAUUUUACCUUGAGAAAAUUAGAGUGUUUCAGGCAGGCUAGGCCGGAAUACAUUAGCAUGGAAUAAUGGAAUAGGACUUCGGUCUCUUUCUUGGUUUGAGGGACUGCAGUAAUGAUUAAUAGGGAUAGUUGGGGGCAUUAGUAUUUAAUUGUCAGAGGUGGAAUUCUCAGAUUUGUUAAAGACUAACUUAUGCGAAAGCAUUUGCCAAGGAUGUUUUCAUUAAUCAAGAACGAAAGG
rnacentral:rRNA from 1 species